GAAGAAGGAGACACGGACAGCAAAGGAAGAGAAGAUGACUAAUGACUCAUAAAAAACAAAUGUAGGAAAGGCAAGGAGAAAUCAGAGAACAAGAAUAAGAGUGUCGGUAUUCAGCAGAGGAGGACGAGAGGGAAGAAGCAAUAAAGGGAAAAUGUGGAGAAAGGAGUGGUUGACAAAGGACAAGCAUGAUGUGGACUGUGUCAGUAUUGCUCAAGGUGAGGUGUGUCUUCAGUACAAAGUGAACAGAUUCCAUGAUGGACAGGUGCGGAGGUAGAAUAGAAGAGUUGUAUUGUUUAGCUGCUCACUAAGUAAACAUUCCGUGACCUGAAGAAGUCAUAGUAAGUCAUUGUGUGGAGGGCUGAGUACCACAGACUGUGCAGGUUGUCGCGUGUUGCCUGCCGCAGCGUUGUUUGAGAGGUGUGUGCCCGGGGAGGAGGGGGUCGGUGUGGCUGGACACUUGAUCGGGUCAGGAGGUAAUGGGCCCGCAUUGGGGUACACCAUAACUCAGGAUGCGUACCUGGUGGAGUUUUUUGUUUGCGGGUCCUGACGGGACAGGGGGGCGGAGACCCUAUUAGCGGGGGAAUGGUGAUUGGUUUCCUCUCCCCCUGGUUAGACCUACAAUCUGGUUUGGGAAAGUCCAGGGUCGGGUGGGCAGAACGAGGAAGAACUUCGGUGCCGGAAGACACGAGUGUGCUCGGGGCUCUGCUGUUGAUGCAUUUCCUCGGAGUGGUGUGUGGUACGGGUCUGGGCAGAAGUUUCGUUCUCCCCUGCGUUUUCUGCGUGCGGCAGAAUCAACGCGUCACGAGCCGAUUGGGCUCAAACACCCGCUCACUAAACCUAGUGGGGCGAAGAAUCAAACAGACGGACGGAGGACUAAAGGACUACCGUCGGCCAGCCAACCACAGGUACCUGCGUGCAAACAGACCUGCGCCGAGGUAUCAGCGGACUGUCAGUGAGACCAAGAUAUUCAAGCCGCGAGGACUGUGUGCUUGACAAUACACGACGGCGUGACGCCGCGGUCUACCAGUGGUAGUGAGAAGUAAUUGUGUUUCAGGCAGUGGCCGGGAGGGGGAGUUGGUGGGUGCGCUGUGGGGGAAGUUUGUGUCGCGUCCGAGCACGCGGACACCAUCAGUGGAGGGGCGUGGCUAAACGCUCAGUUGUGUGCGCUAGGGGUGGGAUUUCCCACUGUGGGGUUCUCUUUUUCUUUUUCUUUGUUGUUGUUUUUUUUUUUUUGUUUUAUAUACGUGUAUUUUUCCUUUUUUGUUGGGUUGGUGGUUGCAUUCUGCGGCCGCCAAUAAACUUUAGUCUUGUAGUGUAACUUCGUGUACGUGUUUUAUGUUCACUGAGGAGUGAUUGGCUUUGUUGCUCGCGCCGGGCGUUGGAUUGUUUGUCAGUGCGAUUGUGAGUGCGUCUGUGAGAGAGCGAGGCUUGCGGCGCCCGACCGCGUUUACGCGACACAGGUAGCAAUUGAUAUUAGCACUGGUUGAUACCUUUGUUAUUUAUUUCUCUAUGCUCGUUCACCUGCAAAUGGUUGAACAUCAUUUCAGAUCAGUACACCCAAGGAAACAAGUUUAUUUGAGGACGAUUGAGCUAUUCUUCCAUUUGUGACUUGUAUUCAGUCGUAAUGAAAGUGGAAGUGUGUAGUAAACACAGGAAUUUAUCUCUGUAUAUGUGGUGUAGUACAUUGACACUCACUGCAGUAGUAACUAGAUAGUCGUGGGUUCUACUGUCAUUUUAACUUCACACUUUCUUCCUAAUGAAAGCAAACAACUAUCAAAAGUUAAUUAGCACACAAGUGAUUUUAUAAUCCCUGCAAUUUCACAUAGUUUGUUUUGUCCUAACUAAAUGUAUUAAGUAUUUCUUUUGCAUUCACAAAUGUUUGUAGAUUAUGGCGCGUUAAGAAUGCUCUCAAAAUGUUUUUCGUAGUAUUUAUGUAGGUCUCUAUAAAUGGUAAAAAUAUAAAGAGACUAAAUAUUUCAACAUUGUUCCCAUUUUUACGGGGUUUCUGUUGAUUGUGUUGACAAAGCGUGCUAUUAAUAGAACACAGCGUGGGACACGUGAAGCAGACUUUAGCAGUUGUAGAGUGCACAGUCACCUUUGAAUUCUAAGAUAAUGUUAGUAUACCAGUAUUUCAAGGCUUUUUC
rnacentral:misc_RNA from 1 species